rnacentral:rRNA from 1 species
GACGAACGCUGGCGGCGUGCUUAACACAUGCAAGUCGAGCGGUAAGGCCCUUUCGGGGGUACACGAGCGGCGAACGGGUGAGUAACAGGUGGGUGACCUGCCCUCAGCUCUGGGAUAAGCCUGGGAAACUGGGUCUAAUACCGGAUAUGACUCCAUGACGCAUGUUGGUGGGGUGGAAAGCCUUGUGCGGCUGAGGAUGGGCCCGCGGCCUAUCAGCUUGUUGGUGGGGUGAGGCCUACCAAGGCGACGACGGGUAGCCGGCCUGAGAGGGCGACCGGCCACACUGGGACUGAGACACGGCCCAGACUCCUACGGGAGGCAGCAGUGGGGAAUCUUGCGCAAUGGGCGAAAGCCUGACGCAGCGACGCCGCGUGAGGGAUGACGGCCUCGG